rnacentral:rRNA from 1 species
CCCUUAGAUGUUCUGGGCCGCACGCGCGCUACGCUGAUCAGUGCAACAAGCAUCCGUCCUUGGCCGACAGGCCCGGGCAAUCUUUGAACGCUGAUCGUGAUGGGGAUAGACUUUUGCAAUUUUUGGUCUUCAACGAGGAAUUCCUAGUAAACGCAAGUCAUCAACUUGCAUUGAUUACGUCCCUGCCCUUUGUACACACCGCCCGUCGCACCUACCGAUUGAAUGGUCCGGUGAAGCCUCCGGAUUGGCGUGCACCCUCGGGUGCUGCCGAGAAGUUGGCUAAACCUUACCAUUUAGAGGAAGGUGAAGUCGUAACA